rnacentral:rRNA from 1 species
GGGGAAUAUUGGACAAUGGGCGCAAGCCUGAUCCAGCCAUGCCGCGUGAGUGAUGAAGGCCUUAGGGUUGUAAAGCUCUUUCGACGGGGACGAUGAUGACGGUACCCGUAGAAGAAGCCCCGGCUAACUUCGUGCCAGCAGCCGCGGUAAUACGAAGGGGGCUAGCGUUGUUCGGAAUUACUGGGCGUAAAGCGCACGCAGGCGGUUCGAUCAGUCAGAAGUGAAAGCCCCGGGCUUAACCUGGGAACUGCUUUUGAUACUGUCGAGCUUGAAUCACGGAGAGGGUAGUGGAAUUCCGAGUGUAGAGGUGAAAUUCGUAGAUAUUCGGAAGAACACCAGUGGCGAAGGCGACUACCUGGCCGUCGAUUGACGCUCAUGUGCGAAAGCGUGGGGAGCAAAC